rnacentral:rRNA from 1 species
GGUUGAUCCUGCCGGACUGACUGCUAUNUGAUUGGUCUAAGCCAUGCGAGUCGUUGUAGCAAUACAAGGCGGACUGCUCAGUAACACGUAGUUAACUUAACCUAUGGAUGGGAAUAACCUAGGGAAACUGAGAAUAAUACCCAAUGGGCCACAGUGCCUGGAAUGGCCUGUGGUUGAAAUGAUUUAUCGCCGUAGGAUAGGACUGCGGCCUAUCAGCUUGUUGGUGAGGUAAUGGCCCACCAAGGCUAUAACAGGUACGGGCUCUGAGAGGAGGGGCCCGGAGAUGGGUACUGAGACACGGACCCAGGCCCUAUGGGGCGCAGCAGGCGAGAAACCUUUGCAAUGUGCGAAAGCACGACAAGGUUAAUCCGAGUGUCUCCUGCUAAAGGAGUCUUUUGUCAGUUGUAGAAUCACUGGUGAAUAAGGGGUGGGCAAGUUCUGGUGUCAGCCGCCGCGGUAAAACAGCACCUCGAGUGGUCAGGAGGUUUAUUGGGCCUAAAGCAUCCGUAGCCGGUUGCAUAAGUUUUCGGUUAAAUCUAUGCGCUUAACGUAUAGGCCGCCGAAAAUACUGUGCAGCUAGGGAGUGGGAGACG